rnacentral:rRNA from 1 species
UACGUAGGGGGCUAGCGUUGUCCGGAUUUAUUGGGCGUAAAGAGCGUGUAGGCGGCCAAGUAAGUCCGGUGUGAAAACUCGAGGCUUAACCUCGAGAUGUCAUCGGAAACUAUUUGGCUAGAGUCCGGAAGAGGAGAGUGGAAUUCCUGGUGUAGCGGUGAAAUGCGUAGAUAUCGGGAGGAACACCAGUGGCGAAGGCGGCUUUCUGGCCCGUUCUUGACGCUGAGGCGCGAAAGCUAGGGUAGCAAACGGG